rnacentral:rRNA from 1 species
CGCACGGGUGCGUAACGCGUAUGCAACCUACCUUAUACAAAGGGAUAGCCCAUGGAAACGUGGAUUAAUACCUUAUAGGACUAAUAUUUCGCAUGAUUUAUUAGUUAAAAUUUCGAUGGUAUAAGAUGGGCAUGCGUCUGAUUAGCUAGUUGGUGAGGUAACGGCUCACCAAGGCAACGAUCAGUAGGGGUUCUGAGAGGAUUAUCCCCCACACUGGUACUGAGACACGGACCAG